AACGCUAGCUACAGGCUUAACACAUGCAAGUCGAGGGGUAACAUGGUCAAAGCUUGCUUUGACUGAUGACGACCGGCGGAUGGGUGAGUAACACGUAUCCAACCUACCGUAUACACGGGGAUAGCCUUUCGAAAGAAAGAUUAAUACCCGAUGGUGUAAAGAGAUCACCUGAUUUUUUUACUAAAGAUUUAUCGGUAUACGAUGGGGAUGCGUUCCAUUAGAUCGUUGGUAGGGUAACGGCCUACCAAGUCAACGAUGGAUAGGGGUUCUGAGAGGAAGGUCCCCCACAUUGGAACUGAGACACGGUCCAAACUCCUACGGGAGGCAGCAGUGAGGAAUAUUGGUCAAUGGGCGAGAGCCUGAACCAGCCAAGUAGCGUGCAGGAUGACGGCCCUAUGGGUUGUAAACUGCUUUUAUGCGGGGAUAAAGUUUGCCAUGUAUGGCAUUUUGCAGGUACCGCAUGAAUAAGGACCGGCUAAUUCCGUGCCAGCAGCCGCGGUAAUACGGAGGAUCCGAGCGUUAUCCGGAUUUAUUGGGUUUAAAGGGUGCGUAGGUGGUUUGAUAAGUCAGCGGUGAAAGUUUGCAGCUUAACUGUAAAAAUGCCGUUGAAACUGUCGGACUUGAGUGUAAAUGAGGUAGGCGGAAUGCGUGGUGUAGCGGUGAAAUGCAUAGAUAUCACGAAGAACUCCGAUUG
rnacentral:rRNA from 1 species